UACGAAGGGGGCUAGCGUUGCUCGGAAUCACUGGGCGUAAAGCGCACGUAGGCGGCUUCUUAAGUCAGGGGUGAAAUCCUGGAGCUCAACUCCAGAACUGCCUUUGAUACUGAGAGGCUUGAGUCCGGGAGAGGUGAGUGGAACUGCGAGUGUAGAGGUGAAAUUCGUAGAUAUUCGCAAGAACACCAGUGGCGAAGGCGGCUUACUGGUCCGGAUCUGACGCUGAGGCGCGAAAGCGUGGGGAGCAAACAGG
rnacentral:rRNA from 1 species